rnacentral:piRNA from 1 species
UGGCCCCGAACUGUAAGAAUUACUGGAGUU